UGGGGAAUAUUGGACAAUGGGCGCAAGCCUGAUCCAGCAAUGCCGCGUGUGUGAAGAAGGUCUUCGGAUCGUAAAGCACUUUCGACGGGGACGAUGAUGACGGUACCCGUAGAAGAAGCCCCGGCUAACUUCGUGCCAGCAGCCGCGGUAAUACGAAGGGGGCUAGCGUUACUCGGAAUUACUGGGCGUAAAGGGCGCGUAGGCGGCGCUCCAAGUUAGGCGUGAAAGUCCUGGGCUCAACCUGGGAACUGCGCUUGAUACUGGAGUGCUUGAGGAUGGAAGAGGGUUGUGGAAUUCCCAGUGUAGAGGUGAAAUUCGUAGAUAUUGGGAAGAACACCGGUGGCGAAGGCGGCAACCUGGUCCAUUACUGACGCUGAGGCGCGACAGCGUGGGGAGCAAACAGG
rnacentral:rRNA from 2 species